GAGGGGGGCGCACGAUACGCAUCCCCGCGAUCGCAGCCCGGCGCCCCACUUGGCCAUCCGCUACUUGCCCGCCUCCUCUUGUCACCUCCCGUCUUAUCCUUCUCGCUCCUUCCCCGCCGCAUACACCGCCAUCCGAGUGCCUCAGAGAGCCGGAGGUGGUGUGCGCGGCUGCAGGGCACGACUUCAAGCGGCCCUCAGCUCCGCACUAGGGGGCACGGGUAACAGCAUGGACACCAAGCGCUGCUUCGCCAAUCGCUUCGAUGACUACCAGGGCAGCCUGCUGGCGGGCCAGUGUGAGGAGGCGGUGGCGCCCUUGGUCACCGCUACCAUCCAGCGCAUCCUCCAGGAGCUUCCCCAACUUGGGGCAGCGCCGAGGCCCGAACGGCGACGGCCGGGGCUAGCGGCUGCCAGGGGUGGCUUUUUGACGGCGUGGCCGAAGUGGCCUACAUGCUCUACCACGUCUCGCAGAGCCCCGGGAACGCUACCUGAGCUCAGCUAUGCGCCUCAUCGACGCGUGCGCCGGCGCUGAGGAGUGGGGCGAGCCGGACGCCGACACCCGCGCUGCCUUCCUGCUCGGGGGCGCGGGCGUGUACGCCGUGGCCACGCUCGUGUACCACGCCCUGGGCCGGUCCGACUACGUGCAGCCGCUGGGCAAGUUCCGGGCUCUGUGUGCCGUCUGCGCGCCGGUCUCCUUCCUGGAGUGCGGCUCCGACUAGCUGUUCGUGGGCCGCGCAGGCUACCUGUGUGCCGCGCUGGGGCUCAAACAGAAACUCGCCCAGGAGUUUUCUUCACAGAAAGAAAGCCAAUUCAGUAUUAAAAUGCUAGCCAAGAUUGAGGGCGAGUACACAGAAGUCUGCACAUUCAAAGAAGCAAGACAAGCUUUUGAAAAUAAUUUUAAAAAAGUGAACAUUUGUAGCCUUGAUUUCCCGGAUCUGGUAACAUGGCAAAAGAUGCCGGUCUAAUUGAAGCCAACGGAGAACUCAAGGUCUUCAUAGAUCAGAACCUUAGUCCCGGGAAAGGCGUGGUGUCCCUCGUGGCCGUUCACCCCUCCACAGUCAACCCGCUCGGGAAGCAGCUUUUGCCAAAAGCCUUUGGACAGUCCAAUGUCAGCAUUGCCCAGCAAGUGGUGAUUGGUAUGCCUCAGAGACCUGCAGCGUCAAACAGCCUGGCGGUAGGAAGCCCACACCCCCCCAGCACUCACUUUGCCUCUCAGAACCAGCCUUCUGACUCCUCACCUCGGUCUGCAGGGAAGCGCAUCAGGAAGGGAGAGAAUUGCAAGGGCCUGCGGCAUUUCUCCAUGAAGGUCUGCGAGAAGGUGCAGAGGAAAGGGACCACUUCUUACAACGAAGUGGCGGACGAGCUGGUCGCAGAGUUCAGUGCUGCCAACAACCACAUCUUACCAAACGAGUCAGCUUAUGACCAGAAGAACAUAAGACGGCGCGUCUAUGAUGCCUUAAACGUGCUGAUGGCCAUGAACAUCAUCUCCAAGGAGAAGAAGGAGAUUAAGUGGAUUGGUCUGCCCACCAACUCGGCUCAGGAAUGUCAGAACUUAGAGGUGGAAAGACAGAGGAGACUUGAAAGAAUAAAACAGAAACAGUCUCAACUUCAAGAACUUAUUCUACAGCAAAUUGCCUUCAAGAACCUGGUGCAGAGAAAUUGGCACACGGAGCAGCAGGCCAGCCGGCCGCCACCACCCAACUCCGUCAUCCAUCUGCCCUUCAUCAUCGUCAACACCAGCAAGAAGACCGUCAUCGACUGCAGCAUCUCCAACGACAAACUCGAGUAUCUGUUUAAUUUUGACAACACGUUUGAAAUCCACGGUGACAUAGAAGUGCUGAAGCGGAUGGGCAUGGCUUGCUGGCUGGAGUCCGGGAGCCGCUCUGCUGAAGACCUUAAAAUGGCCAGAAGUCUGGUCCCAAAGGCACUGGAGCCGUAUGUGACAGAAAUGGCUCAGGGAACUGUUGGAGGCGUGUUCAUCACAGCGGCAGGUUCCACGUCUAAAGGCACAAGGUUCUCUGCCAGUGACCUGACCAACGGUGCAGAUGGGGUGCUGGCCACAAGCUCCAACGAGUCUCAGUACAGCGGCUCCAGGGGGGAGACCCUGGUGUCCUACGUCGGGGAGGACGAGGAGGAGGAUGAUGACUUCGAUGAGAAUGACAAGGACGACUGACGUCCUCCCCACUUCAAAUUCAGCUUCAGGAAAACAUUUAGGGAAAAGAAACUUUUUUUUUUUUUUUUAAAUGUGGGUUUUCUGUUCCCUUUUUUCCUACUCCCAAGAAGACAUUGGUAAGCUACUGAAUUUAGAUGUGCACCUUUAAUAAGCAAGGAUUGUUUCCCGUAGGAUUAGGACGUGCUGUGGAUGUGUUUUGAUACCAGUGUGCUGAUGCAGAGUGUUUAUUUACUUUUGAGUAUUUUGUGUUUUCAUUUUCUAUUUUUCUUUAAGUGCAGAGUUCAGUUUUGCCCCUUAACAGUUUUUGCUGAGUUUGCUGAAGAAAUUGUAUUUCAUCCACAUGCAUGAAAAUAAAACGCCCUCCUGUUGUGGAUGGUGAGCACCUGAUGCCGUUUAUUUGCCCUGAGUUUGCACGGCGACCCCACUGGCAGAUAGCGAGACUCUGUGGAGUUUUCCAUUUGUUCAGUGGUACGGUGUCCAGAGCCCCAAGCAAACAGCAGAAUUCGACUUUUUAAACAAUAAACACCAUCAACCUUA